GACGAACGCUGGCGGCGUGCUUAACACAUGCAAGUCGAACGGAAAGGCCCUGCUUUUGUGGGGUGCUCGAGUGGCGAACGGGUGAGUAACACGUGAGUAACCUGCCCUUGACUUUGGGAUAACUUCAGGAAACUGGGGCUCAUACCGGAUAGGAGCUCCUGCUGCAUGGUGGGGGUUGGACAGUUUCGGCGGUUGGGGAUAGACUCGCGGCUUAUCAGCUUGUUGGUGGGGUAGUGGCUUACCAAGGCUUUGACGGGUAGCCGGCCUGAGAGGGUGACCGGCCACAUUGGGACUGAGAUACGGCCCAGACUCCUACGGUAGGCAGCAGUGGGGAAUAUUGCACAAUGGGCGGAAGCCUGAUGCAGCAACGCCGCGUGCGGGAUGACGGCCUGCGGGUUGUAAACCGCUUUCGCCUGUGACGAAGCGUGAGUGACGGUAAUGGGUAAAGAAGCACCGGCUAACUACGUG
rnacentral:rRNA from 1 species